rnacentral:rRNA from 1 species
UACGAAGGGGGCUAGCGUUGCUCGGAAUCACUGGGCGUAAAGCGCACGUAGGCGGAUCCUUAAGUCGGGGGUGAAAUCCUGGAGCUCAACUCCAGAACUGCCUUUGAUACUGAAGAUCUUGAGUUCGGGAGAGGUGAGUGGAACUGCGAGUGUAGAGGUGAAAUCCGUAGAUAUUUGCAAGAACACCAGUGGCGAGGGCGGCUCACUGGCCCGAUACUGACGCUGAGGUGCGAAAGCGUGGGGAGCAAACAGG